AGGCUUGAAGAUGAAGAGCUCGUUUCCUACAUCCUCACUGGAUUGGAACAAGAUUUCAAUCCGGUGGUGUCCGCUGUUGCUGCUAGGGUUGAACCCAUGUCUGUUGGGGAACUCUAUACCCAACUCGUCAGCUUUGAGC
rnacentral:snoRNA from 1 species